CAAUAGCGUAUAUUAAAGUUGUUGCGGUUAAAAAGCUCGUAGUUGGAUUUCUGCUGAGAACGACCGGUCCGCCCAUUGGGUGUGUAUCUGGCUCUUUCUUGGCAUCUUCUUGGUGAACGUUACUGCACUUGACUGUGUGGAGCGCUACCCAGGACUUUUACUUUGAGGAAAUUAGAGUGUUUCAAGCAGGCAUACGCCUUGAAUACGUUAGCAUGGAAUAAUAAGUUAGGACCUCGGUUCUAUUUUGUUGGUUUCUAGAGCUGAGGUAAUGAUUAAUAGGGAUAGUUGGGGGCAUUAGUAUUUAAUUGUCAGAGGUGAAAUUCUUGGAUUUAUUAAAGACUAACAUCUGCGAAAGCAUUUGCCAAGGAUGUUUUCAUUAA
rnacentral:rRNA from 1 species